UUCUCCCAGCAGGCUGCAGAAGCUCCAUCGGGACCUGUUCAGCUUCGCUUUCAUGACUCGCUGUAUGGUGGAAGUGGGCCAGCGACACCAUCUCGUAAUUGCAAGGACAGCGGCUUAACCAGAGCCAACAGACACACUGCGGAGGUGGCAUUUCGGGAGCGCUCCGCAGCCCCCACCACAACGGCGCCAGCCGGGCUGGGCUCCAAGAGGAGAACUGAACGGGGCAGGGCGCGGAUCGCUGAUUGGCUGAGGAGGAACUGAGGGGCAGUGCCGAGCUGCCGCUCCCGGUGAAGCAACUUUUGAUUGGCUACUAACUCUGUGGGCGGGGCCCCGCCAGUUAUAAGUUGGGGGUCCCUGGGCUCGGGGGGCUGUCGGCGCGGAGUUUUGUGCCAGGUAACCUGCGGUUCUCUUCGGCCCGGCCAUGUCUGACCCUGCCCAGCAGCCCGCUCCCGGGGCUCCCGAAGGAGGGGCUCCCGAAGGAGGAGCUCCCGAAGGGGCAGCCCCCGGUGGGGGUCCCCCCGGGGCUCCCCCCAACCUGACCAGCAACCGCCGGCUGCAGCAGACGCAGGCCCAAGUGCAGGAGGUAGUUGAUAUAAUGUGUGUAAACGUAGACAAGGUGCUGCAACGAGAUGAGAAGCUGUCAGAGCUGGAUGACCGGGCAGAUGCACUUCAGGCUGGUGCCUCAGUAUUUGAAAGUAGUGCAGCAAAACUCAAAAGGAAGUACUGGUGGAAGAACUGCAAGAUGAUGAUCAUGAUGGGAGUGAUUGGUGCCCUUGUGGUGGUGGUGAUUGCAAUGAUAUGAGGAAUGGGGAAUGCCAUCAUUGUAGAAAUGGGAAAUUCUGCCUGUCAAGUCAGAUAAACCUUCUACUUUUUUACUUAAAUGUAGCUCCUUCAGUCUGCAACCUCCUGUCCCCUAUUACCUUGCCUGUCUCUUCUUGCCUCUGAAUUUUUCCUUUCCUUCCCUUUCACCUAGCUUCUUCAUUGAUUUCUUUAUUGGUUUUAAUUUAAUUUAAUCUUCUGUGUAGGACUCUGAGCCGCUUACUAAACAUAGGUAGACUUUUUAAUAGCUGCUGCAGCUUUAGGGAGCAUCCUCUAAGUUUAGAGGAAGGUGAAGUUGAGGAAGAGUGGGUAGCUGUUUGCUCCUGCUCUUCUGCAGGGAACUUCUUGUCUUUACUUUUGGGUGUAAGCUUGUCAAAUAGUGCCUGUGUGAACUCUAGUAAAAUAAGAAUGCCUUAACACAGUGCCUUUUGGGAUGAAGGACUUCAGCAUGUGAGAGUCUUUAGUGUUCUGCCUAAAAAGACUGGCAGCAUGACUUGAGCUUUUCAUUGAGCUGCUGAUAUAAAAGCUAGUUUGUGUUGGCCAGUGGCUGUGAGCCAUCUAAGCUACAUGUAGUGAUGUAGAUUUCUCUAGCCAUGGAAAGGUGAGCACGUGAAGAAAUGAUUUUUCUGCCUGUCCUUAUUUCCAGAUGACUUGCUGCCUGAACAUGGCCAUUUCAGUUUUUAUAAAGGAGGGCCUACAUGAUUACCUCAGUCAAAUGCAACAGGCUAAACACAGUUAAGUGAAAGGAGCAUUGUUACUAUCUAAAAGGCAUGUGUGGGAGUAAAGACUCUCUCCACAAGGAUCGAAUGAACAACAAUUAGUCUGGUGGGGAGUGUCAAAUAUGCCUUUCAUCUAUGCACACACAAGCCAGGACCCUGUAGCUUCCUACUGUCUUGUAGCUUUCCAGAAGGAAGACUUUGGAGUAGUGGCAGAAUGGGAAUUGGUGUUUUGUUUUUGUGUCACUGGGGUGAGCGUCAAGGAGGCUCACUGCCAUAGCAGAUAGAGAUCAAGGGGGCUGGAGGUAUUCCAGAUGAGACUGAAUGAGCUGCACAGCUUUCUGAUUAAGAAUAUCUGCUCUGUUUCUGCUGCCACCAAGCCCUAACUUUCAGCAGGAGUUAGAAAACACUUGAAAUAUUUAGCUGGGGAUUCAAAGGGAAAUUGUGCUCUGGGCAUGGUUAUUGCAAAGUGACAUCACGUGUCCCAGUUUGGCAACUUAUGUCUCUAAAGAUCAUGCUGAUUGAACUGAAUCCUCCUGCUUGCAAUGGGUUCUCUUGAAUUUAGGUUCAGAGUGGUCUCUGAGGGAAGUAAACUUGUGGCUGUGGCUUUCUGUGAGCAGUUCCUUUGUUCUUCUCUAUCAAAAGUAACAAGAGUUGUAAGUUGUUUGAAUGUGUUGUCAGACAUAGGUUAAAUGAGCUGCCCUGUUUCUGUAGAGUCUUCCAAGGAAUGUGUAUCUUGUCUUUUAACUUUUUUAACAAGCUGAGCUAGACUGGAAAGAGGGUACUCCUUUAAUUUAGAAACCUCUGCCUCUGUUCUAGAAUACAUUGGGUUCUGUUUAGGCUUAAGAGGAGGCAGGAAGGACAUCACUGGAGUUCCCAGACAGAAAAAAGAUGGGAGGAGCAGAUGCUUUUUGUUUCAUUGGAUGUGCUGGGGAAGCCCCUUUGUGCCUCCCAGGGCAUCUGGCAAGGGGCUAGGUUUUGCAUGCUCACUUCCAUGCCCCAGCAUUUCAUUUGAGUUCAUCUCCCUGCAAUUCCAUUACUCUCCGCCUCAGGGGAGGGCAGAGAUGAAGAUCUGGAGUGAAGCAGCCCUCAUCCCCUGAGCACUUCCCUAAUUCCCUGCGGAACUGAGAUGGGAUGGACGGUCAGAAGUGCAUCUACUGAAGAGGAGCCAGGGCCUGCUUGUGCUACUUACUGCUCUCAUUUUAGGGGGUAGGCUUACAAGCUUGAGGCCCCCAGACCAGCAAUUCUCUCAAACUCUUCUAAACAAGCCUUUGGUGCCCCAUUCCUCCUGUCUCUCUUGGAGCUGAGGCCCCCCUAGGUUGUCUCUUUCAUUUCUUUCUCUUAAGUGUUGUAUGUAGCCUCCUCCUCUGUUCCCGUUCCCCUCCUUUGUGUCUCUGUGCACGGGCAAAGCAAAUCACCAAGGCCCUCUUAGUAAAAGCAAGGGACUCUGCUGCCCAUGGCAUCACUCAUGCACGUGCAGUUUAUUUACUUCCUCUAUAAACACAACUGUAAUCUCCUCUGGCAUGUUCUAGAAAUCAGCUCAUGUACUUUUAAUGGUCUCUAAGAAACACAAUUCACCACCUUA